rnacentral:tRNA from 1 species
UAAGAAGUAGAGCUAAUAGCGCUUGCAUGGCAUGCAAGAGGUCACCGGUUCGAAUCCGGUAUUCUCCACCA